rnacentral:tRNA from 1 species
GGGGUUGUGGCUCAGCGGUAGAGCACUCACCUCUUACGUGUGAGACCCUGGGUUCCAUCCUCAGCAUCACAU